rnacentral:lncRNA from 1 species
AUUGGUCACUUCGAUCCAAUCUUAUCUUUACUCUCUCGUUGCACCUGUCUAUGUGCAUCUAUAUCUCUUAUCCCCAAUAUUUAAGCUACAUGUCUAUUGAUAAUCAAGAUGAUCAAGAUGAGUCAGAUUGAAACUAGCUCAUUUUUUACAAACACAGCCUUGCAGUUACACCUGGCCUUUUAUAUGUUCCAACAGGUUACAGUUAUCACACUCCUUAUCUGCUGUAUUUGAUCCUCAUCCAUUUCAGACAAAUUCAUCAUUGAAAAUAUUUGCAUUCUAUCAACCUUAUACCCUAUACCCAAUCCAAACUCUAUCCCUGAAACUCAUUCACAUAAUAGCUUGGCAUGUUCAAUGGAUUCAUUUUCGCUUUGGCGAAUAGGACAUAAAGGCACAAAUUAUAAAAGCAAUCGAGGAAGUAUAAGGAAGGAGGGAAUGGUUUGGCCAAAGCUAUGUGGAUGGUAAGUAUGUGAAGGCCGAAUACCACAUACUGAAGGAUGCCGAGGAGUUGAUUUGGUACUUUGUCUGUAAUACCUAAAAUUAACCCUUUCUUGUGGAGAGGUUGUGGUUACAAUAUUGCCACAAUUUUAAAUUUACGGAGAAAGAAGAUAAGAUCAUCACCUUGAUGUGAUGAAAGAUCAUUUUAAUCAGGUAUGAUUGUACAUAUGAAAAAUGAAUAUAAAAAUAAUAUACUUUAAAAUUUUGAUAAAAAC